CUGGGACGCCAUGGAACAGGGCCCAUUUAUCAAAAACUUUCCCUGAAGCACCAAAGGGCUCCCAAAAGACCCACACAGAUUAACACUGGACAACAAAACUCAAGGCAUUAUGGAAAAAAGCGAGGGGGAGCUCUAAAGAUCUGAGCGCCGUUCUAAGGGAACUCUCUGAGGAGAGCAGAAGGCAAAGAAAAUGUUUGGUGCAAAAAGAAAUCCAGAUUGAAUGACGUGAAAUGGCAGAACAUGAAAUGAAAGGUAAUUUAUGAGUGCAUUUACCCUGUGAAUACUCAUUAAGUGCAGACUCAUCGUGUGGAGCGAUGGAAGCAAAGAAAGUUUGGCGAGGAGUUUGACAUCCAUAAACAAGCCUUUUGUUUUCAGACUGCACAAGAAAAAUGUAUGUAUUUUGGAGAGCUAACCAUUGUUAUCCUGUCCUUUGAAUAAAACAAAUGUUCUAAUAUUUGUGUCAUAAACACAACUCGGAGCAUGCAGGAAAAAAAGGAAAAAACACCCGAAUAUUGAAAAUAUGUUGAAAAUAUGA